UACGUAGGUGGCAAGCGUUGUCCGGAAUUAUUGGGCGUAAAGCGCGCGCAGGCGGUCCUUUAAGUCUGAUGUGAAAGCCCACGGCUCAACCGUGGAGGGUCAUUGGAAACUGGAGGACUUGAGUACAGAAGAGGAAAGCGGAAUUCCACGUGUAGCGGUGAAAUGCGUAGAUAUCCGGAGGAACACCGGUGGCGAAGGCGGCUUCCUGGACCGACACUGACGCUGAGGCGCGAAAGCUAGGGGAGCAAACGGG
rnacentral:rRNA from 1 species